CACGUAGGGCGCAAGCGUUGUCCGGAAUUAUUGGGCGUAAAGCGCGCGUAGGCGGCCCUGUAAGUCCGUUGUGAAAGUCAAAGGCUCAACCUUUGAAAGCCGAUGGAUACUGCAGGGCUAGAGUCCGGAAGAGGAGUGUGGAAUUCCUGGUGUAGCGGUGAAAUGCGCAGAUAUCAGGAGGAACACCAAUGGCGAAGGCAGCACUCUGGGACGUGACUGACGCUGAGACGCGAAAGCGUGGGGAGCAAACAGG
rnacentral:rRNA from 1 species